GGAUCCACUGAGAGUUGGUUAGCUGUGAUUAAUACUGUCAUCUGUGACCAUGAAAAUCUAUAGUGGUUUGCCCCAUUACAUAUCUGAAACAUUGUCUUAUGAAAACAAAAUGAAACAAAAUUAAAUAAAAUUGAAGAUAAAAAUACUCUGGAAGCACAGGAUAUCUGACAAGAAUCUUCAGCACAAAGCACAUGUUUGAAAACGUGAAACGAUGACUCUUUGGAGGACAAUAGCUAAAUAUCCAAGAAUCAUCAGUAAAGAAAACAAAACGCAGCACAUUCACAUUUUCCCGAGGAACUGUAAAGAUGAUCUCUACAGGGAUAAACGUUGUAAAGCCUGAAGCUCAAUCAACUGAUGUUGGAAACUCUCAAAGGGAGUAAAGGCUUGAUCUCAAUGGUCUAGAACAUGUACUGUAAUUUAAUAGAAGAGAUGGUCGUCUUAAUAUUUAAUGAUUUAAAAGAACUUCCCAGUCCAUGCGAAGAGUACAGUCCAAGAAUAAAUCAAAUUUCUGAACGCAUUUUAUGCUACAUAUGUGUAUACUUUGCGAUCCUCAGGUGUUCGUGCCAAAUAUUCUCUCUCAAUAAGUCCUUCAAUACGUUUCUUAAUAACAACUGGACUUGGUAAGAAUCGCGCCUUCAACUGCUGAGUUACCUAAAAAAGAAAGUAGAUAGUAUUUUUAUAUAAACACAUAAAAAUUCGUAUCUUUGAACAGAACUGAUAUGUCAUUUUAACACUCAGAGACUGAACUUUACUAACUGGAUUACCAAAGAUAAAA
rnacentral:lncRNA from 10 species